CCCCAGCGCCACAAGUGGGGAUCACGUUUAUUUGGUCUAAAGCGUUCGUAGCAGGUCUUGAAAAUUUCUUGUGAAUUUGUUGUGCUUAACACAACAGACGGCAGGAAACACUCCAAGACUUGGGAUUGGGAGGCGUAUGCAGUAUUUUCGGGGGAGCGGUAAAAUGUUAUAAUCCCGAGAGGACUACCUGUGCCGAAGGGGGCAUACGAGAACAAAUCCGACUGUGAGGGACGAAAGCUAGGGGAGCAAAACGG
rnacentral:rRNA from 1 species